AUAUGCUCUUAGAAAGAAGAGAAGAAAAUUGAAAACACAAAACAGUUAGUUUGUUCCAUUUUCAGUUGUUUUGCUUCUCAAUUAAAAAACAUACAAGAAGUCUUAUCACAUUGUAUGGUAAUAGCCUGUAUUAAUCUUUUAACUUGUUAUGUUAUAUGAAAAGAUUCAACUUUUUACAUUGUGGUCACAAUAACAAUCUUAGCUACAAAACAUUGCUUUGUGCAAUAAUUUUCUUAGUCAUUUUCUUCACUGUCAGACAUUUAAAUUGCUUUCAGAUUUUGAGGAUUAGGAUCAAAUGUGACAUCCCGGAUCCAAAAGAACAAACAUUGUUGUAUGUAUUCAUAUUGGCAAUCUACCAGUUACAGCCCUAAUUUGUAAGGCCGCCAAUAACGGAAACUCUUUCCAGCACUCUAGGAAAUAUCCUUAUCCUCCUAACGUGCACCAUAUUAAAGGAAAAUGUGCCACUUA